rnacentral:snRNA from 1 species
GUGCUUGCUUCAGCACCCAUACUAAAAUUGGAAUGAUACAGAGGAGUCCAGCACGGCCCCUGUGCAAGGAUGAUACACACAUUCAUAAAACAUUUCAUGUGUUU